GGGUUGUGAGGUUAAGCGACUAAGCGUACACGGUGGAUGCCCUGGCAGUCAGAGGCGAUGAAGGACGUGCUAAUCUGCGAUAAGCGUCGGUAAGGUGAUAUGAACCGUUAUAACCGGCGAUUUCCGAAUGGGGAAACCCAGUGUGAUUCGUCACACUAUCAUUAACUGAAUCCAUAGGUUAAUGAGGCGAACCGGGGGAACUGAAACAUCUAAGUACCCCGAGGAAAAGAAAUCAACCGAGAUUCCCCCAGUAGCGGCGAGCGAACGGGGAGCAGCCCAGAGCCUGAAUCAGUGUGUGUGUUAGUGGAAGCGUCUGGAAAGGCGCGCGAUACAGGGUGACAGCCCCGUACACAAAAAUGCACAUGCUGUGAGCUCGAUGAGUAGGGCGGGACACGUGGUAUCCUGUCUGAAUAUGGGGGGACCAUCCUCCAAGGCUAAAUACUCCUGACUGACCGAUAGUGAACCAGUACCGUGAGGGAAAGGCGAAAAGAACCCCGGCGAGGGGAGUGAAAAAGAACCUGAAACCGUGUACGUACAAGCAGUGGGAGCACAGAGCAAUCUGUGUGACUGCGUACCUUUUGUAUAAUGGGUCAGCGACUUAUAUUCUGUAGCAAGGUUAACCGAAUAGGGGAGCCGAAGGGAAACCGAGUCUUAACUGGGCGUUAAGUUGCAGGGUAUAGACCCGAAACCCGGUGAUCUAGCCAUGGGCAGGUUGAAGGUUGGGUAACACUAACUGGAGGACCGAACCGACUAAUGUUGAAAAAUUAGCGGAUGACUUGUGGCUGGGGGUGAAAGGCCAAUCAAACCGGGAGAUAGCUGGUUCUCCCCGAAAGCUAUUUAGGUAGCGCCUCGUGAAUUCAUCUCCGGGGGUAGAGCACUGUUUCGGCAAGGGGGUCAUCCCGACUUACCAACCCGAUGCAAACUGCGAAUACCGGAGAAUGUUAUCACGGGAGACACACGGCGGGUGCUAACGUCCGUCGUGAAGAGGGAAACAACCCAGACCGCCAGCUAAGGUCCCAAAGUCAUGGUUAAGUGGGAAACGAUGUGGGAAGGCCCAGACAGCCAGGAUGUUGGCUUAGAAGCAGCCAUCAUUUAAAGAAAGCGUAAUAGCUCACUGGUCGAGUCGGCCUGCGCGGAAGAUGUAACGGGGCUAAACCAUGCACCGAAGCUGCGGCAGCGACACUGUGUGUUGUUGGGUAGGGGAGCGUUCUGUAAGCCUGCGAAGGUGUGCUGUGAGGCAUGCUGGAGGUAUCAGAAGUGCGAAUGCUGACAUAAGUAACGAUAAAGCGGGUGAAAAGCCCGCUCGCCGGAAGACCAAGGGUUCCUGUCCAACGUUAAUCGGGGCAGGGUGAGUCGACCCCUAAGGCGAGGCCGAAAGGCGUAGUCGAUGGGAAACAGGUUAAUAUUCCUGUACUUGGUGUUACUGCGAAGGGGGGACGGAGAAGGCUAUGUUGGCCGGGCGACGGUUGUCCCGGUUUAAGCGUGUAGGCUGGUUUUCCAGGCAAAUCCGGAAAAUCAAGGCUGAGGCGUGAUGACGAGGCACUACGGUGCUGAAGCAACAAAUGCCCUGCUUCCAGGAAAAGCCUCUAAGCAUCAGGUAACAUCAAAUCGUACCCCAAACCGACACAGGUGGUCAGGUAGAGAAUACCAAGGCGCUUGAGAGAACUCGGGUGAAGGAACUAGGCAAAAUGGUGCCGUAACUUCGGGAGAAGGCACGCUGAUAUGUAGGUGAAGUCCCUCGCGGAUGGAGCUGAAAUCAGUCGAAGAUACCAGCUGGCUGCAACUGUUUAUUAAAAACACAGCACUGUGCAAACACGAAAGUGGACGUAUACGGUGUGACGCCUGCCCGGUGCCGGAAGGUUAAUUGAUGGGGUUAGCGCAAGCGAAGCUCUUGAUCGAAGCCCCGGUAAACGGCGGCCGUAACUAUAACGGUCCUAAGGUAGCGAAAUUCCUUGUCGGGUAAGUUCCGACCUGCACGAAUGGCGUAAUGAUGGCCAGGCUGUCUCCACCCGAGACUCAGUGAAAUUGAACUCGCUGUGAAGAUGCAGUGUACCCGCGGCAAGACGGAAAGACCCCGUGAACCUUUACUAUAGCUUGACACUGAACAUUGAGCCUUGAUGUGUAGGAUAGGUGGGAGGCUUUGAAGUGUGGACGCCAGUCUGCAUGGAGCCGACCUUGAAAUACCACCCUUUAAUGUUUGAUGUUCUAACGUUGACCCGUGAUCCGGGUUGCGGACAGUGUCUGGUGGGUAGUUUGACUGGGGCGGUCUCCUCCUAAAGAGUAACGGAGGAGCACGAAGGUUGGCUAAUCCUGGUCGGACAUCAGGAGGUUAGUGCAAUGGCAUAAGCCAGCUUGACUGCGAGCGUGACGGCGCGAGCAGGUGCGAAAGCAGGUCAUAGUGAUCCGGUGGUUCUGAAUGGAAGGGCCAUCGCUCAACGGAUAAAAGGUACUCCGGGGAUAACAGGCUGAUACCGCCCAAGAGUUCAUAUCGACGGCGGUGUUUGGCACCUCGAUGUCGGCUCAUCACAUCCUGGGGCUGAAGUAGGUCCCAAGGGUAUGGCUGUUCGCCAUUUAAAGUGGUACGCGAGCUGGGUUUAGAACGUCGUGAGACAGUUCGGUCCCUAUCUGCCGUGGGCGCUGGAGAACUGAGGGGGGCUGCUCCUAGUACGAGAGGACCGGAGUGGACGCAUCACUGGUGUUCGGGUUGUCAUGCCAAUGGCACUGCCCGGUAGCUAAAUGCGGAAGAGAUAAGUGCUGAAAGCAUCUAAGCACGAAACUUGCCCCGAGAUGAGUUCUCCCUGACUCCUUGAGAGUCCUGAAGGAACGUUGAAGACGACGACGUUGAUAGGCCGGGUGUGUAAGCGCAGCGAUGCGUUGAGCUAACCGGUACUAAUGAACCGUGAGGCUUAACCUUACAACGCCGAAGGUGUUU
rnacentral:rRNA from 1 species